rnacentral:misc_RNA from 1 species
GAUGAAGGAACGCAGCAAAAUGCGAUAAGUAAUGUGAAUUGCAGAAUUCAGUGAAUCAUCGAAUCUUUGAACGCACAUUGCGCCCGCCAGUAUUCUGGCGGGCAUGCCUGUUCGAGCGUCAUUUCAACCCUCAAGCACAGCUUGGUGUUGGGACUCGCGUUAAUUCGCGUUCCCCAAAUUGAUUGGCGGUCACGUCGAGCUUCCAUAGCGUAGUAGUAAAACCCUCGUUACUGGUAAUCGUCGCGGCCACGCCGUUAAACCCCAACUUCUGAAUGUUGACCUCGGAUCAGGUAGGAAUACCCGCUGAACUUAAGCAUAUCAAUAAGCGGGAGGA